rnacentral:lncRNA from 1 species
UGCCCGAGAAUCGACCGUCGGUAUCCCAAUACCUUGUUCAGUCUCGUUACCGGCAAGUCACUUUACUCGUACCGUAAUGCAUGAUCCCGUGGCCAACACCUUGGUCACAUUGAGCUCAUUAUGAUGAUGCAUUACCGAGUGGGCCCAGAGAUACCUCUCCGUCAUACGGAGUGACAAAUCCCAGUCUCGAUCCGUGUCAACCCAACAGAUACUUUCGAAGAUACCUGUAAUGCACCUUUAUAGUCACCCAGUUACGUUGUGACGUUUGAUACACCCAAGGCAUUCCUACGGUAUCCGGGAGUUACACGAUCUCAUGGUCGAAGGAAGAGAUACUUGACAUUGGCAAAGCUCUAGCAAACGAACUACACGAUCUUUGUGCUAUGCUUAUGAUUGGGUCUUGUCCAUCACAUCAUUCUCCUAAUGAUGUGAUCCCGUUAUCAACGACAUCCAAUGUCCAUAGUCAGGAAACCAUGACUAUCUGUUGAUCACAACGAGCUAGUCAACUAGAGGCUCACUAGGGACAUAUUGUGGUCUUAUGUGUUCACACGUGUAUUACGAUUUCUGGAUAAUACAGUUAUAGCAUGAACAAAAGACAAUUAUCAUGAACAAUGAAAUAUAAUAAUACUUUUAUUAUUGCCUCUAGGGCAUAUUUCCAACAGUCUCCCACUUGCACUAGAGUCACCAAUCUAGUUACAUUGUGAUGAAUCGAACACCCAUAGAGUUCUGGUGUUGAUCAUGUUUUGCUCGCGAGAGAGGUUUAGUCAACGGAUCUGCGACAUUCAGAUCCGUGUGUACUUUGCAAAUCUCUAUGUCUCCAUCUUGAACAUUUUCACGGAUGGAGUUGAAACGACGCUUGAUGUGCCUGGUCUUCUUGUGAAACCUGGGAUCCUUAGCAAGGGCAAUAGCUCCAGUGUUGUCACAGAAGAGUUUGAUCGGCCCCGACGCAUUGGGUAUGACUCCUAGGUCGGUGAUGAACUCCUUCACCCAAAUCGCUUCAUGCGCUGCCUCCGAGGCUGCCAUGUACUCCGCUUCACACGUAGAUCCCGCCACGACGCUCUGCUUGCAGCUGCACCAGCUUACUGCUCCACCAUUCAACAUAUACACGUAUCCGGUUUGUGACUUAGAGUCAUCCAGAUCUGAGUCGAAGCUAGCGUCGACGUAACCCUUUACGACGAGCUCUUCGUCUCCUCCAUAAACGAGAAACAUGUCCUUUGUCCUUUUCAGGUACUUCAGGAUAUUCUUGACCGCUGUCCAGUGUUCCUUGCCGGAAUUACUUUGGUAUCUUGCUACCAAACUUACGGCAAGGUUUACAUCGGGUCUGGUACACAGCAUGGCAUACAUAAUAGAUCCUAUGGCUGAAGCAUAGGGGAUGACACUCAUCUCUUCUUUAUCUUUUGCCGUGGUCGGUGACUGAGCCGAGCUCAAUCUCACACCUUGUAACAUAGGCAAGAACCCCUUCUUGGACUGAUCCAUUUUGAACCUUUUCAAAAUCUUAUCAAGGUAUGUGCUUUGUGAAAGACCUAUGAGGCGUCUCGAUCUAUCUCUAUAGAUCUUGAUGCCUAAUAUAUAAGCAGCUUCUCCAAGGUCCUUCAUCGAAAAACACUUAUUCAAGUAGGCCUUAAUGCUGUCCAGAAGCUCUAUAUUAUUUCCCAUCAAGAGUAUGUCAUCUACAUAUAAUAUGAGAAAUGCUACAGAGCUCCCACUCACUUUCUUGUAAACGCAGGCUUCUCCAUAAGUCUGCAUAAACCCAAACGCUUUGAUCAUCUCAUCAAAGCGAAUGUUCCAACUCCGAGAUGCUUGCACCAGUCCAUAAAGGGAUCGCUGGAGCUUGCAUACUUUGUUAGCGUUCUUAGGAUCGACAAAACCUUCCGGCUGCAUCAUAUACAGCUCUUCCUUAAGAUGUCCGUUAAGGAAUGCCGUUUUGACGUCCAUCUGCCAUAUCUCAUAAUCAUAGUAUGCGGCAAUUGCUAACAUGAUUCGGACGGACUUCAGCUUUGCUACGGGAGAGAAUGUCUCGUCGUAGUCAAUCCCUUGAACUUGUCGAUAAUCCUUAGCGACAAGUCUAGCCUUAUAGAUGGUAACAUUACCAUCCGCGUCCGUCUUCUUCUUAAAAAUCCAUUUGUUUUCUAUCGCUCGCCGAUCAUCGGGCAAGUUUGUCAAAGUCCAUACUUUGUUUUCAUACAUGGAUUCUAUCUCGGACUUCAUGGCUUCAAGCCAUUUGUUGGAAUCUGGGCCGGCAUCGCUUCUUCAUAGUUCGAAGGUUCAUCGUUGUCUAACAACAUGAUUUCCAGGACAGGGUUGCCGUACCACUCUGGUGCGGAACGUGUCCUUGUGGACCUACGAAGUUCAGUAGCAACUUGAUCCGAAGUACCUUGAUCAUCAUCAUUGUUUUCCUCUUCAGUAGGUGUGGGUAUCACAGGAACGGUCUCCUGCGCUGCACCACUUUCCCGUUCAAGAGGUAGUACUUCAUCGAGUUCUACUUUCCUCCCACUUACUUCUUUCGAGAGAAACUCUUUUUCCAGAAAGCAUCCAUUCUUGGCAACAAAGAUCUUGCCCUCGGAUCUUAAGUAGAAGGUAUACCCGACAGUUUCCUUAGGGUAUCCUAUGAAUACGCAUUUUUCCGACUUGGGUUCGAGCUUUUCAGGUUGAAGUUUCUUGACAUAAGCAUCGCAUCCCCAAACUUUUAGAAACGACAGCUUAGGUUUCUUCCCAAACCAUAAUUCAUACGGUGUCGUCUCAACGGAUUUAGACGGUGCCCUAUUUAAAGUGAAUGUAGCUGUCUCUAGAGCGUAUCCCCCAAAAGAUAGCGGUAAAUCGGUAAGAGACAUCAUAGAUUGCUCCAUAUCCAAUAGAGUGCGAUUACGACGUUCGGACACACCGUUUCGCUGAGGUGUUCCAGGCGGCGUGAGUUGUGAAACGAUUCCACAUUUCCUUAAGUGUGUACCAAAUUUGUGACUUAAGUAUUCUCCUCCACGAUCUGAUCGUAGGAACUUUAUCUUUCGGUCACGUUGAUUCUCUACCUCACUCUGAAAUUCCUUGAACUUUUCAAAGGUCUCAGACUUGUGUUUCAUUAAGUACAUACCCAUAUCUACUUAAGUCAUCAGUGAGGGUGAGAACAUAACGAUAUCCUCCGCGAGCCUCAACGCUCAUUGGACCGCACACAUCGGUUUGUAUGAUUUCCAACAAGUUGGUUGCUCGCUCCAUUGUUCCGGAGAACGGAGUCUUGGUCAUUUUGCCCAUGAGGCAUGGUUCGCAUGUGUCAAACGAUUCAUAAUCAAGAGACUCUAAAAGUCCAUCAGCAUGGAGCUUCUUCAUGCGCUUGACACCAAUGUGACCAAGGCGGCAGUGCCACAAGUAUGUGGGACUAUCGUUAUCAACUUUACAUCUUUUGGCAUCCACACUAUGAACAUGUGUAAUAUUACGCUCGAGAUUCAUUAAGAAUAAACCAUUGACCAUCGGAGCAUGACCAUAAAACAUAUCUCUCAUAUAAAUCGAACAACCAUUAUUCUCGGACUUAAAUGAGUAGCCAUCUCGUAUUAAAGGAGAUCCAGAUACAAUGUUCAUGCCCAAACUUGGCACUAAAUAACAAUUAUUAAGGUUCAAAACUAAUCCCGUAGGUAAAUGUAGAGGCAGCGUGCCGACGGCGAUCACAUCGACUCUGGAACCAUUCCCGACGCGCAUCGUCACCUCGUCCUUCGCCAGUCUCUGUUUAUUCCGCUGCUCCUGCUGUGAGUUACAAAUAUGAGCAACGGCACCGGUAUCAAAUACCCAGGAGUUACUACGAGUACUGGUAAGGUACACAUCAAUUACAUGUAUAUCAAAUAUACCUUUGGUGUUGCCGGCCUUCUUAUCCGCUAAGUAUUUGGGGCAGUUCCGCUUCCAGUGACCCUUCCCCUUGCAAUAAAAGCAGUCAGUCUUAGGCUUGGGUCCAUUCUUUGACUUCUUCCCGGCAACAGGCUUACCGGGCGCGACAACAUCUUUGUCGUCCUUCUUGAAGUUCUUCUUCCCCUUGCCCUUCUUGAACUUAGUGGUCUUAUUGACCAUCAACACUUGAUGUUCUUUCUUGAUUUCAGCCUUUGCUGACUUCAGCAUCGAGAACACUUCAGGAAUGGUCUUCACCAUCCCCUGCAUGUUGUAGUUCAUCACAAAGCUCUUGUAGCUUGGUGGGAGCGACUGGAGGAUUCUGUCAAUGACCGCCUCAUCUGGGAGGUUAAUGUUCAGCUGGGUCAUACGGUUGUGCAACCCAGACAUCCUUAGGAUGUGCUCACUGAUAGAACUGUUUUCCUCCAUCUUACAACUGUAGAACUUGUCGGAGACAUCAUAUCUCUCGACCCGGGCAUGAGCUUGGAAAACAAGUUUCAGCUCUUCGAACAUCUCAUAUGCUCCGUGAUGCUCAAAACGCUUUUGGAGCCCCGGUUCUAAGCUGUAAAGCAUGCCGCACUGAACGAGGGAGUAAUCAUCAGCACGUGUCUGCCAAACAUUCAAAUCGUCUUGCAGUGCUGGGAGAGCAGGUGGGUCAUCUAACGGUGCUUCUAGGACAUAUUGUUUCUUGGCAGCUAUGAGGAUGAUCCUCAGGUUCCGGACCCAGUCCGUAUAGUUGCUGCCAUCAUCUUUCAGCUUGGUUUUCUCUAGGAACGCGUUGAAGUUCAUGUUGACAUGAGCGUUGGCCAUUUGAUCUACAAGACAUAUUUGCAAAGGUUUUAGACUAAGUUCAUGAUAAUAAAGUUCUAAUCAAAUUAUGAACUCCCACUUAGAUUAGACAUCCCUCUAGUCAUCUAAGUGUUACACGAUCCGAGUCGACUAGCCCGUGUCCGAUCAUCAUGUGAGACGGACUAGUCAUCGUCGGUGAACAUCUUCAUGUUGAUCGUAUCUUCCAUACGACUCGUGUUCGACCUUUCGGUCUCCGUGUUCCGAGGCCAUGUCUGCACAUGCUAGGCUCGUCAAGUUAACCCUAAGUGUUUUCGUUGUGUAAAAUUGGCUUACACCCGUUGUAUGUGAACGUAAGAAUCCAUCACACCCGAUCAUCACGUGGUGCUUAGAAGCGACGAACUGUAGCAACGGUGCACAGUUAGGGGAGAACACUUCUUGAAAUUUUGUAAGGGAUCAUCUUAUUUACUACCGUCGUCCUAAGUAAACAAGAUGCAUAAACAUAAUAAACAUCACAUGCAAUUAUAUAGUUGUGACAUGAUAUGGCCAAUACCAUAUAGCUCCAUUGAUCUCCAUCUUCGGGGCUCCAUGAUCAUCUUGUCACCGGCUUGACACCAUGAUCUCCAUCAUCAUGAUCUCCAUCAUCGUGUCUUCAUGAAGUUGUCACGCCAACGACUACUUCUACUUCUAUGGCUAACGCGUUUAGCAAUAAAGUAAAGUAGUUUACAUGGCGUUCUUCAAUGACACGCAGGUCAUACAAAAAAUAAAGACAACUCCUAUGGCUCCUGCCGGUUGUCAUACUCAUCGACAUGCAAGUCGUGAAUCCUAUUACAAGAACAUGAUCUCAUACAUCACAAUUCAUCAUUCAUCACAACUUCUGGCCAUAUCACAUCACAUGAUCAAUCACUGCAAAAACAAGUUAGACGUCCUCUAAUUUGUUGUUGCAUCUUUUACGUGGCUGCGAUUGGGUUCUAGCAAGAACGUUUUCUUACCUACGAAUAACCACAACAUGAUUUUGUCAACUUCUAUUUACCCUUCAUAAGGGCCCUGUUCAUCGAAUCCGCUUCAACUAAAGUGGGAGAGACAGACACCCGCCAGCCACCUUAUGCAACUAGUGCAUGUCAAUCGGUGGAACCGGUCUCACGUAAGCGUAUGUGUAAGGUUGGUCCGGGCCGCUUCAUCCCACAAUACCGUUGAAGCAAGAAAAGACUAGUAGAGGCAAGUAAGUUGACAAGAUCCACGCCCACAACAAAUUGUGUUCUACUCGUGCAUUAGAGAACUACGCAUAGACCUAGCUCAUGAUGCCACUGUUGGGGAACGUUGCAGAAAAUUAAAAUUUUUCCUACGGUUUCACCAAGAUCCAUCUAUGAGUUCAUCUAAGCAACGAGUCAUGGGAGAGAGUUUGCAUCUACAUACCACUUGUAGAUCACGUGCGGAAGCUUGCAAGAGGAUGGUGAUGAUGGAGUCGUACUCGACGUGAUUCGAAUCACCGAUGUCCAAGUGCUGAACGGACAGCACCUCCGCGUUCAACACACGUACGGGACGGGAGACGUCUCCUCCUUCUUGAUCCAGCAAGGGGGAAGGAGAGGUUGAGGAAGCUCGCUCCAACGGCAGCACGACGGCGUGGUGGUGUUGGUGCAACAGUACUCCGACAGGGCUUCACCAAGCGCUUACGGAGGAGGAGAGGUGUUGGGGAGGGGAGGGGCUGCGCCUUGGAGAUGGGUACAGCAGCCCUCCCCCCACCCCUCUAUUUAUAGGGGAAGGGGCAAGGGGGGCCGGCCCCUCUAGAUGGGAUCUAGAGGGGGGCGGCGGCCAGGGAGGGGAGGCUUGCCCCCCAAGCAAGGGGGGCGCCCCCCUCAGGGUUUCCCCCCCAACCCUAGGCGCAUGGGCCCAAGGUGGGGGGCGCGCCCAGCCCUCCAGGGGCUGGCUGCCUCCCCUUUGCGGCCCAAGUGGCCCUCCGGGAGAGGUGGCCCCUCCCGGUGGACCCCCGGAACCCCUCCGGUGGUCCCGAUACAUUACCGAUAGACCCCCAAAACUUUCCGGUGUCCGUAUGACAACUUCCCAUAUAUAAAACUUCACCUCCGGACCAUUCUGGAACUCCUCGUGACGUCCGGGAUCUCAUCCGGGACUCCGAACAACAUUCGAUAGUCACAUACUAGUCUUCCUAAUAACCCUAGCGUCACCGAACCUUAAGUGUGUAGACCCUACGGGCUCGGGAGACACGCAGACAUGACCGAGACGACUCUCGGGCAAUAACCAACAGCGGGAUCUGGAUACCCAUGUUGGCUCCCACAUGCCCCUCAAUGAUUUCAUCGGUUGAACCACGAUGUCGAGGAUUCGAUCAAAACCCUGUAUGCAAUUCCCUUUGUCAAUCGGUACGUUACUUGCCCGAGACUCGAUCGUCGAUAUCCCAAUACCUUGUUCAGUCUCGUUACCGGCAAGUCACUUUACUCGUACCGUAAUGCAUGAUCCCGUGGCCAACACCUUGGUCACAUUGAGCUCAUUAUGAUGAUGCAUUACCGAGUGGGCCCAGAGAUACCUCUCCGUCAUACGGAGUGACAAAUCCCAGUCUCGAUCCGUGUCAACCCAACAGAUACUUUCGGAGAUACCUGUAAUGCACCUUUAUAGUCACCCAGUUACGUUGUGACGUUUGAUACAC